rnacentral:rRNA from 1 species
CGAAAGGAGGGAGCUGCCGAAGGCAGGACCGAUAACUGGGGUGAAGUCGUAACAAGGUAGCCGUAUCGGAAGGUGCGGCUGGAUCACCUCCUUUCUAAGGAA